rnacentral:rRNA from 1 species
CCUACGGGUGGCAGCAGUGGGGAAUAUUGCACAAUGGGGGAAACCCUGAUGCAGCAACGCCGCGUGAGUGAUGACGGCCCUCGGGUUGUAAAGCCCUGUCUUCAGGGACGAUAAUGCCGGUACCUGAGGAGGAAGCCACGGCUAACUACGUGCCAGCAGCCGUGGCAAUACGUCGGUGGCGGCCGUUGUCCGGAUUUACCGGGCGUAAAGGGAGCUUAGGCGGGCUUUUAAGUGAGAUGGGAAAUACUCGGGUUCAAAUUGAGGGCUGAAUUUCAAACUGUAAGUCUAGAGUGCAGGAGAGGAAAAUGGAAUUCCUGGUGUAGCGGUGAAAUGCGUAGAGAUUAGGAAGAACACCAGUGGCGAAGGCGAUUCUCUGGACUGUAACUGACGCUGAGGCUCGAAAGCGUGGGGAGCGAACAGGAUUAGAUACCCUAGUAGUC